rnacentral:pre_miRNA from 1 species
AGUUGGCGCCGAAUAAACAAGGACGAAGAAGGGGACAGAGAUAAAGCGUCUCUGUCCCCUUCUUCGUCCUUGUUUAUUCGGCGCUUUCC